rnacentral:Y_RNA from 1 species
AGCUGGUCCAAAGGUAGUGAGUUAUUUCAUUUAAUUGUUCACAGUCAGUUACAGAUUGAACUCCUUGUGCUACUACUUCUCCCCUUCUCACUACUGCACUUGACUAGUCUUAA